UAUGAUGCCCAGUCUUGGAUUUUGUUGAUGAUAUCUUGGAUUUCUGUAUCUCGGAUUAUUUGGUUGGUUUGGGAAGUUUGGGAGGUUUGGUUAGGAUUAUUGGAGAGGGAAAGCUAAUCUCUACCCUCAUGGAGAAGCAGCAGAGCUUCCGGAUUGGAGCAUUGGAGAAGCUCCAGAGCUUCCGGAAGCAGAAAAGCUUUCGCAUGGGGGAGAAGCAACAGAGCUUUAAGGAGAGG
rnacentral:misc_RNA from 1 species